ACGUGAGUUACCAUGGAAACGAGGCUACUAGGAACAACAGAAAGCGACAAAGCUCUGUGUCUCUUAUGGUUUUCUUCACUUUUUCAGAAGUGACAAAAUAUUAAUAGAAAAUAAGCUCAAGAUUUCUGCAUUUUCGAAUAGAGCUGCAGUGCUGACAGAGAGAUGUUGUAAACUCAGAUUUGUCCAUGCUGAUGGCCAUGCAGCAGAGUUCAAGCAAACCUGUCAGAAAACAUCUCUAAGGGGCUAUGUAUGAACCAUAUGGCUAGAUACCCAUACAAGUUACAGAAGCUCCAGUAUGGAUCCAGCCUCACUUGUAAUGACUUCAGAUGACGCCUACACUCUCAGAGACUUCAGAUGAUGGCAACUAGAUGGACAUACAAGACUGCCAAACAUUAUAUAUAUAUAUA